AUGUGCCCACAUACGUGUAUAUAUGUAUAUACAUAUAUAUACGUGUAUAUAUGUAUAUACAUAUAUACAUGUGUACACAUAUACAUAAACAUAUAUAUAUAUGUUUAUGUAUAUGUGUACACAUGUUUACAUAUUUAUAUAUAUAAAUAUGUAUGUGUUUAUAUUUAUGUAUGUGUACACAUAUUCAUACAUAUAACUACAUGUGUGUUUAUAUGUAUGUAUAUCUAUACAUACAUGUACAUAUUUAUAAAUAUUUGAAGUUAAUUAUAUUUAUAUAGCGCUUUUCUCUAGUGACUCAAAGCGCUUUACAUAGUGAAACCCAAUAUCUAAGUUACAUUUAAAGCAGUGUGGGUGUCACUGGGAGCAGGUGGGUAAAGUGUCUUGCCCAAGGACACAACAGCAGGAUGGCGGAAGUGGGAAUCGAACUUGCAACCCCCAAGUUGCUGGCACGGCCACUCUACCAACCGAGUUAUACCGCCCCAUUUGAGUGUAUGUGUAUAUAUAUUUAAAUUUUUUAUGAUUGCGAUUUUUAUUUAAUUGUAAAUUGAUUCCUAGUUUUUGAUUGAUUCAAAAAACAUUUACCUUUGGUUAAAAAAAAUAGGAAGAUGAUGUAUUGAUUCUGGUUUGCAUGGAGAAAGCCCAAAAAUUAAACGAAAGAAUGAAUUCCCCCUUUUUUUUUUUAAGAAUCGAUUCCAAUGUGACUCCCAACAUUUAGUCCCCUGACCAACAAAUUUGUCACAAAUGAACCGACCGGUAUUCUCCUUUUGUUGUCUGGAAGAGGCUGUUUGUGACGGAACAAUCUUGCUCUCGAUGGAUAUCGCUCAGAAAUUUGAGGAAUGGCCGACAGACUGCGACGCUGCCUUAAACUUCCAUGUGGUCAGCGCCUCCUCGCCCAGAGGGAACUCUUUAUUUAUUGUCCUGAGGAAACAACUUUGUACUUCAUUUGGGAAAGCGUAUGUACAAAAAUAUAUAUAUAUUAUAUAUUCAUGUUGUAAAACUUCUGUACUUAAGCUUGUGUUUGACGACAAAAAAAAAGUGUUUUUUUUUCUUCGCGCCCCCGUUUAAUCGAGUUUAUUCAUUUGGAAAAAAAAAAAACAUUUAAAAAAGCCCUUUUUUGUAUGAACUUUUGGCUCCAGGCGUCGUUUGUCGCCUGCCUAAAUAUACUUUUUUUUAAGUUGUCCUUUCAAGUGUAAAUCUUUGUGUUUAAUCACUUUUUUUCCGUUUUGCACUCUGUGUAAAUGCAAUCUUGCUAGCACAAAAAAAAAGAAUGUUGCCAAGAGUAGUUUGGACUUUGCUGCUGUAAAUGCUCUUUUUUUCGUGCUCUUUUUUUCCUCUUGAUUGUAUGUUAGUUCUCUCAUUUCAGUUCAUUGUGAUAUAUUUAGCUGCCUUUAUAUGCAAAUAAAAUUGCAAGAUUUUUACUUAA